GUGUUUUUUAGAUUCUUUGUUAUCUUAAUUAAUUGAUGUGUAGUGAAAUUUGUAGGAACCAAAAGAGUAUUGAGCUCCUGAUCUUGAAGCUUCCAUUCAAGAGGCUUGUCCAUGAAAUUGCUCAGGACUUCAAGGUUACUCUAAUCUGUGUUGGGAAAGAAGUCUCAUGGACAACAACUUUGUUCUGGCCAGCUGGAGCCUUCGGGGAGUGAUGGAGACACAAAGACCAGGUUGCACUGUUGCGCCAGUCUAAGUGGAAAAUCUCUAAAUGGAAAAUACUUUGUCUUUCGUUUAAAUAUUGUAAUAGUUCCUUUCUUUUUGAUUGUAUUGAGUCUAUA